rnacentral:rRNA from 1 species
UACGAAGGGGGCGAGCGUUGUUCGGAAUUAUUGGGCGUAAAGGGCGCGUAGGCGGUGCGGUAAGUCACCUGUGAAAUCUCCUGGCUCAACUGGGAGCUUGCAGGCGAAACUGCCGUGCUGGAGUGUGGGAGAGGUGCGUGGAAUUCCUGGUGUAGCGGUGAAAUGCGUAGAUAUCAGGAGGAACACCAAUGGCGAAGGCAGAUCUCUGGGCCGUAACUGACGCUGAGGAGCGAAAGCAUGGGGAGCGAACAGG